rnacentral:rRNA from 1 species
GGUUGACGUCAGAUCAGGUAGGAAUACCCGCUGAACUUAAGC